UACUCAGUUUUUCUGAAUAAUCUCAGACAAACAUUUUUUGUACACGUAGACAACAUAACAUAACACCUUGUUAAAUUUACAAAAUAACUAUUUCCCUUCGUCUUUGGCUGGGAAACCCCAUUUGAAAGAAGAAGAACAUGCGGGCGAAAUAAGGGGAUUCACUUGACAAGUGCACUGGAUAAUGGACAACAGCAUUGACUCCCGAAGAUAAAGGACUACCAGAGUGAAAAGAUGAAUCUGACAAUCUUACAGUCACUGCUAAAAAGGGUUCAAAUCUGCUGAAGAUGAAGAAAACUGAAGAAUCUGCAGGACAUGGAUGAUUUUUUUUCUAAAGACCAGCAGUCAGUUUAACUGUUCAGAACAAACAAGAGACUCAUAAACAACCACCAUAAAGUAGAAAAGCCAAGGGUUUAAGAUGACUAUAAUUUUAUAACCAAUCAAGAGCACCCCAGUUCACUUGUUUCCAACAUCUUUGUGGACAACCAAUCCAGUGAUGAAGGUCACAAGAAAGCUGAAAUAUAGCCAUAGAGAGAGCAAAUGUACUUUUUGGAGCCGAUUCUUGCACCUACUGUACCUAAUGGGCCGCAUUUAUGCACUGGAACUAAGCUAUCCAAAGAAACUCAAAUACAACUUUGAGGUCUUUCAUAAGGGCUUCUUCAAGCUUGACGACGAACAGUAACAUGCUCCCCAACGUCCACAAUCUCAAGGUCAGCUUAUUGACCUAAAAGCCAUACAGACAUUGUUGAUGCUAGCGAGAUUUUGUUGGGUAAUUUCAGUUAAACUGUAUUGUUCAGAUUCAUCAGGUUUACCAAAAGCACAUUUUUGAAAUGGUAUUUUUAUAUUUGGAUCAUACUAGUGUGUCAGUUAAAGGG